CAUUGUUAUUCACAGAAAUGGAGUAAUCCUUCAACCUGCUAGUGUAAAUCCCACCUAUUUCAAAUCACCUGUAGGAGUUACUGUACAAAUGUUACACAAAGAUGAAACAUUAUCUCUGAAUACUGGUGAUAGAUUGGCUCUAGUAGAAGAUGGUGUCUGGUUUAAAAUAAAAAUUAUACUUGAAAAGAACCUUGAUGUAGGUAUUAUGGUUGAUAGAUACAGUGCAAUUCUCAAUAAAAGAUUCAAUGAUAAAGAUAAUAUGCAAGUUUCAAAGAAGAUCAAACUUGAACCAGAAGAUGUUUGCAAUUAUUGUACUAAUUCAGAAUGUAAUAUAUGUACAUUAAAUUCAUAUAUUUGUUCAGGAAAUUCAUGUGAUAAUAUUUAUCUAUUAUUAUUAUUUGUAAGAUUGCUUAUUCUAAAUAAAAGAACAUAGUAAAUUUAAAAACGGAGAUUUCACUUGAAGGAGCAGUAUCUGUCCCAGGAGAAAGGGCAUAAAGAAAUAAAAUACAUAUUCAAAAAUUUUCUGUUGCAUUCAAGAAGAGACCCAGACUUUUGCCUCCGUAACAGAAGCUGGUACCUUUACCUCCGUGUGGUACUAAAAAUUGUAAAGAUAAUUCAACUUUAGAUAAUUGAAAAAUUCUCAAAAUCUAAUUUUUUUAAUUACAUAUAUUUGUUCAGGAAAUUCAUGUGAUAAUAUGUAUUUAUCUAUUAUUAACAAAAUGACGAUUGUUUACAUAUAUAAAGAAGAUGAUGAAUCAAAAGAGUUGUUACAACUGAAUGAGGGAUUGCACUAUAUUGGCAUAGAAGCGCCAAUUGAGUGUAAUGAUAAAAGAAUAUCCAGAAAACAUGCAAUCAUUGUUAUUCACAGAAAUGGAGUAAUCCUUCAACCUGCUAAUGUAAAUCCCACCUAUUUCAAAUCACCUGUAGGAGUUAUACUGUACAAAUGUUACACAAAGAUGAAACAUUAUCUCUGAAUACUGGUGAUAGAUUGGCUCUAGUAGAAGAUGGUGUCUGGUUUAGAAUAAAAAUUAUACUUGAAAAGAACCUUGAUGUAGGUAUUAUGGUUGAUAGAUACAGUGCAAUUCUCAAUAAAAGAUUCAAUGAUAAAGAUAAUAUGCAAGUUUCAAAGAAGAUCAAACUUGAACCAGAAGAUGUUUGCAAUUAUUGUACUAAUUCAGAAUGUAAUAUGUACAUUAAAUUCAUAUAUUUGUUCAGGAAAUUCAUCUGAUAAUAUGUAUUUAUCUAUUAUUAACAAAAUGAGGAUUGUUUACAUAUAUAAAGAAGAUGAUGAAGCAAAAGAGUUGUUACAACUGAAUGAGGGAUUCCACUAUAUUGGCCUAGAAGCGCCAAUUAAGUGUAAUGAUAAAAGAAUAUCCAGAAAACAUGCAAUCAUUGUUAUUCACAGAAAUGGAGUAAUCCUUCAACCUGCUAAUGUAAAUCCCACCUAUUUCAAAUCACCUGUAGGAGUUACUGUACAAAUGUUACACAAAGAUGAAACAUUAUCUCUGAAUACUGGUGAUAGAUUGGCUCUAGUAGAAGAUGGUGUCUGGUUUAAAAUAAAAAUUAUACUUGAAAAGAACCUUGAUGUAGGUAUUAUGGUUGAUAGACCCUUACCCUUACCCUGGUACCCUUACCUCCGUGUGGUACUAAAAAUUGUAAAGAUUGUAUAGUUUGCUGUUACGCUGUUUUGCAUAAGUACAACUUAUAUCAGUGUGCUUAUCCAAAUUUAAAUAUAGUAUAUAAGCAUUUAUUAACUCUUUCAGUGACACAAGUAUCUUGUGAAAGAAGCUUUUCAACGUUGAAACACAUAAGAAAUCAGUUAAGAAGUACUUUAACACAAGAUCACUUGGAAACGUUUAUACUAAUGGCUAUUAUAGAAAAAGAAGCUUUGUAUGAGCUUAAAAAAUGAUGAAAUAAUCGACUAAUGGGCUCAAAAAUCUGCUUUAAUGCGAAAAUUAUUGAUCGAGUGUUAAUUAUUUUAUAAAAAAAUUGCAAAAUAAUGUUUAGAUUAUUGCGUUGUAUUAAUAUUUAUAUGCCGUUAAAUUAAAGUAUUUAUACUGUACUACUUAAAUUUGUACUCUCUUGUAUAAUUGAUUUACUAAAAUUCAACUUCUCAAAAUUUUAUGUUUUUAAUUACAUUAAAUUUAUAUAUUUGUUCAGGAAAUUCAUGUGAUAAUAUUUAUCUAUUAUUAUUAUUUGUAAGAUUGCUUAUUCUUAAAUAAAAGACAUAGUCAAUUUAAAAAUUCAAAAUUUUAUGUUUGAUUUAAAAAUAAUUUAUAUUUUUUUUGACAAAUAACGAACAAAAACUUCUGAUAAUUGAAGGUAAAAUGAUAAUGGGAGGCCGCUUUUCUAUAAAAUCACCGGGCCGCUUGUAAAGCUGCAGCAUGCCACUGCGUAGGUACCAAAAAAUUUAUAUGUAUUCAUUUGAUAAACGUGAUCGAUUGAUUAGAAAUAUACAAUAAUAAUACAAACGUUUGUUGUAUGAUACAUUAUUGAUUUCAAUAACUUGUUUCCAUUGUACAUAUCACGAAAAGAGUUGGUUUCCAAUUUAUUUAAUAACUGCGCGCUGCAAUGAUUGCAAUGCAAUCAAAAAUGUUCUCCUAAUUAGACGACAGAGAAAAGUGUUUGUAAACAGGAUAUUAUGCUGCUCCUUCUAAUCGGCGGAGUUUAUCAAAUCGUCGGCAGUGAGAAGGUCACGUGGUCGAUAAACGCACCUGAUUAGAAAGAGAUACACUACCUGUUCACAAACAUUUUUCUCAGUCUCACUGGAGGAACAGUUCCGAUUGCAGCGCGCAGUCAAGGUAUUAUUAUUAUGUCUGUGGUUUUAAGUAGUCUUAAAACAAGGAGUUAUCAGUACAAGACAAUAAGAAAAAUCUGCGCACUUUGGCUUGUAUAAAACCAAUUUUGGACAUACCCCAGCAUAAGAUUGUCUUGAUAUCACAUUAAUAUCACAGUUUUAACUCCUAGAGAUUCGUUUAUUUAUGCUGUUUCAUGCUUUUGCAGGAUAAUUUGGAACCAACUCAAUUAUUGAUCUAAAACUUAACAUUUAGUCUCCUUAGGGACCGUUCAAGUAUUACGUAACGCAGGUGGAGGGGGGGGGUCAAAAAUCUUCAAAAAUUGCGUUACGCAAUAGUUAAACGCCCAUUAGAGUGCGUUACGUGGGGGGAGGGGGGGUCAAAAAUCGCGUUACGUAAUACGUGAACGCUCCCUUAAUGGCCCUUUUCAAAUUGGUCUAGAGCGGAAUCUUGAAUGAUUAAUGGAAUUGUUUCAACAAUGUUAACAUAGAAACAAACAUGUAUAUCUUUCGUUUAUAUUAUCUUUUAUAUCAUUUUUAUAAUAUGUAUUAUAGGGUGCAUCGAAAAAAUAAAAGUUGGAAAUGUUAUAUCUAAUAGCGUGAAAAAGUUACUAGUGUUAUUUUUCAGCAUAUUAGUAUUUUUAAUUUUUUUUCUAAGCAAAUUUUCUGCGCCCCGCCCCCCCCCCCCCCCAACGACCUUGCAUUUUAUGAAAUAUCUGAUUUUUAUGGAAAUUUAAAUUUAUAUUAUUUGGAAUAAAAUAUGUGCUAACUCGAUCUAAGAUCAUUAAAGAAAACUUAAAAUGUUGUCAAUUACAAACUUAAACGAUAUUUAAAGUUUUAUUUGUUUUUUCAGUCUCCCCAACCCCUUUGAAAUGUCCCGCUUCGUGAGUCCGUGCGUGUAAUUUUCACUUAUGUUUGGUGCGAUGCCUUACUUUGUUAUUAUUGUUGUUUGUAAAUUAAAGAUUUUUAAAAUAGAUAAACCAGGACCAUAGGGAAUAAAAUCAAGAUGUGCUGUGGACCGCCCCAUUUUUGGGCACCCACCGAAUAUACCUGAAAAUGUUUUACCGAAAUACAAACAAGCGAUGAGGUUUUGUGGUUGCAAGAGGAUAAAAAACUCAGCAAGAAAUAGCCAGAAUUUUCUGGUAUUGCCGAACAGGUUGCAAUUAAAUUGGAGGAAAUAUGGAAAAAGGCUUUAAUUCCAAUAAUUUAACAUACAAGAAUUAUUCAGCUUUUAAAAGCCUAUCAUGACAAAUAUAUGAAACUUAUGAAACCAUUUAAGAACAGGCAAGACAGUGAAUUUUACAAAAAUAAAAUUCAAUGCUUUAAGAGCAAAAGUAAAAGUACAUGUUUCGAUCUUGCAGCAUGCAAAUGUGACACUCUGAUUAAUUGUCUUUGUAGCAAAUCUCAAAAAGUGUCUCUGGAUGAGCGCGAAUUUCUAUUAAAUCAAAGAGGCCCCAGAAAAAUGGUGAUAAGCUCGAUUGAUAGGGAAAACAAAAACAAAUAUCAGAGAGAACAAUGGUAAAAGAAGAAAGUUACCGACGCAAAGACAAAACUUUAGCUCCAGUAAAAAUCGGUACCAAGUUUUAUGAUCGUGGAAGAACACAAUAACACUUGUGCAUGAGCCAGGGUGCAAAUAUUUCGGAUAUGGGUAUCCGCUGUCUGGUAUAUCAGAAAAAGUAUCAAAUCUAGCUAUUGCAUGUGACGAAACAUUCGUAAAUAUUGGCGUUAAGGGUGAUGUAAUACGGCUGUUAGAAGAACGUCUUAAAAACCGCUUCAGUGGUUUGUAUGUCUGCGACAUUCAAAUGAUCUACCCCUUGGACAUCAAAAGAAGUUUGCCAGUGACCAAAUCAAAAAACGUGAGGGUCUUCAAACUUUCUCCUAUAAAAAUUUUGAUUCAAACGACUAUACUUUGAGUUAAUUAACUAACAAGAAUAUCCACCUAUAUUCUCUAGAUUAUCGAGUGACAAUCUGCGGGAUUUUAUUAAGAAUCCUAACUUAGACCCUUUUAACAUUGAGAUUGAGAAAUAUCACUGCCACAAACAAUGUGUAGAACGAUGUGUCUAACUUGUGACACAAGCUUCUAUAGCAGUUUGUGGAGCGUAUUCAAGGGAUGGAUUUAUAAAAACUCGACUUGAUUCCAGAAAAACUAUGCCUCACUUUAAUGCUAAAUCGGAAGACAUUUUCGAAUAUAAUGCUUUUACCAUAUUUUUUUGUAAUAUUUAUAUGCCUAAUUUUGUACUAUGCUUUAUAUUUAUUUUAGUAUUAAAAACUUGGGUGACGUCAGGGAGACGGAUAAGUUAGGCUAUUUUGUUAUAAAAAGAAUAUUUUAGUAUACUUUUCUUAAGUAAAAUUAUUAUUAAUUGCCUUGUGAAACCAGAAAAUAUUUUCCAAUUUAAACCGAAUUUAUUUAUUCAAGUUCUAUAAGGUAUUACAUUUCCCUUACAAAAGAAAUUCGCAUAUUAAUGUAUUUUUUCUAAUUUUUAGUUGCCGUGGGGGGCAGAAAAUAUUUUUUUAUUUCAACGCAAUUUUACUAAAAUACUAAAUAGUGUGUUAGGCAACUUUUGUGAGCUAUUACAUUUUCGUUUCGAAAUAAAAAUUUUUUUCGUCUUUAACAUUUUUUCAAAAUUUUUAAUUGUCUUCGGGGGACAGAAGACAUUUUCCAAUUUCGAAAAAAUUUUACCUAAAUACUUAACAGUUGAUUGGGCAACUUUUGUGAGGUAUUACUUUUCCAUCGCAAAAAAAAAAUAUUUUUCGCCUUUUUCGAUGCACCCUAACGUAUUAGUAGCCCAGUCGGGAUAACAUUUGACCUUGCAUUAUGAGCUGCCCCAAAUUUUAUUUUUCUAAUCUUUAGAGAGGAUCAAUAUUAGUAUAAAUUUAAAAUCUCGACUGAAUUCCACCGUUGCGUUAGCCGCCAUCUUGAUUUUAAACGAGAACCGUUUUUGCUCAAUAUCUCCGCCAUUUUCAACUUUUCGACAAAAAGUGUGGAAACUAAAAUUGUUGAAAAUACGAUUUUCUAUAAUUUCGUUUAUUAUUAUUUUUUUUUUCUUGCGAUCGAUAUUUUCGAGUUAUGGGGGGAAAGUAGUGACAGUUAGAGCAUAAUUAUUGAAUUAUCGAAUUAUCUCGUUUAUUAUUAGUUUUACAACAAAUAUGUACCUAUACAAAAAUGAAGAGAAUUAAAUUGUAUACAAUUUUGAUCUGUUCCAUUUUUUCAUAAAAUCAAUAUUUAAGGUAGUACGUAUGCGGUAGAGGUGCGAAGACCUUAUUGAUUUUAUAGCAAUUGUUUUAGUUCAAUAUCUCCGCCAUUUUCAACUUUUCGACAAAAAGGGUAAGGACUGAAAUUGUUGCAAUUACGAUUUACUACGGUGGCGGGUCUACAAGGGGGGAAUGGGAAAAUUCCCCCAACAGGGUCCAAAAUUUAAAAAAAAUUGUUGAAAUAAUAAAAUAUAUUAGCUGACAUGAAACUUAAAAUAUCGACAGACAAAUUCAACCAGUAAAAUUAAAAUUAAGUGAACUUAAUGCAUAAUAAGUUAUUAUUUGUCUUUUAUGUACUUAGUUUGGUUGAUAUUUCAUUGGAAAUUUCAAAAAUUGUAUAAAAUAUAAUUCUCUUUAUUUUUGUUUAUGUACAAUUAUGUCGUACAGUUAAUAAUAAUUGAGACAAUUCAAUAAUUAUGCGUCCCCUCCACUUCCACUAUCUUCCCCCUUAACUAGGAGAAUAUUGAUCACAUAAAAAAAAUUGUGCAAAAGAAAUUGUAGGAAAUUACAUUUUACGAUUGUAUUAUUUAAAUGUAGCUUAAAGAAUCAUGAAUUCUAUACGUAGAUCUUUCAGCUCUGAUCCGAGAUGCAGUUAACCAAAGUACUCUACUGGACCUCGGAGGUAAACUACACUAUGUCAUUUCUGCAACUGUGUUUAGCGUGUGUUUGCGACAAAGUUUAGAGCACUUAGGAUGUUAAUAAAAAUCUGAUAUAUCCUAUAAUUAGUUGAAAGACAAUAUGACUAUAUUUUAAUGAUCAUAUAUAACCCAUUUGUAUAAUCCAACUAAUAAAAUAAGUGGAUUAAAGAAACUUAUUCAAAAAACACCAUGUCGACAUAGUGUAGUUUACCUCCGAGGUCCACGCGAUUGGUAGAUAUGUAUAUAUGUAAUACAAAAUAAUAUCAAAUGAUCAACAUAAUAUGUAUUUUAAACAAAAUUUGAUACGAAUAUUAAGAGAGAAAAAAUGAUUUUUUUGAAUGAUAAUUAUUCCGCGGCCUUUUAAUUUUAUUGUAAUAUUUGUUAUUGUUAUACACAUUUUUAUUUUCCUAAUUUUAAGUUAGGAUUUUUGUAGAAAUAGUCAAAUAUAUAGUAUUUGUUUACCUCGUAA
rnacentral:lncRNA from 1 species